rnacentral:misc_RNA from 1 species
AGGAAGGCAGAAGCAGAGAACAAAAGCAUUGGUUUCAAUCCCUUCCCUUUCUCAAUCCUCAACCAACCUAAUCAUCAAUCCCCGAAAAAGCUCGCCAAAAAUCCAAACUCAAGCAAUGGAUGUUUCAUCUCUUCCAGAAUCUGAACAGCAACAACUCAACCCUCAUUUCCAAGAGCAAGCACAAGCCCCACGAUACCAAAUUCAAGAUUAUUACUAUCAAA